rnacentral:rRNA from 1 species
UACGUAGGGGGCGAGCGUUGUCCGGAUUCAUUGGGCGUAAAGAGCGUGUAGGCGCCAGGUAGGUCGGUUGUGAAAACUGAAGGCUCAACCUUCAGACGUCGACCGAAACCAUCUGGCUAGAGUCCGGGAGAGGAGAGUGGAAUUCCUGGUGUAGCGGUGGAAUGCGCAGAUAUCAGGAAGAACACCCGUGGCGAAAGCGGCUCUCUGGAACGGUACUGACGCUGAGACGCGAAAGCGU